GCUUCCUGGUAUCUCUUCUCUCUUACGAAGAAGUUGAAAGAGGAGACCAAGUACCAUCCAUUGCCUGGCCUAUGAUAUAUGGAUCACCUUUCGAAGUUGACAAAGGGUUUGUUCUUCACAUAAGUACCCUUCCGAAUGACCAACCUCUUUCGUCAGGUGUAGCAUAUUCAAUCAAGGCCAAAGUUUCCUCAUUCUUGCUUGACUGAAGAACCGUGGCGCGCGCAUACACACACAUGCCAAAGAACUCCUUAGCUUUCUUACCCCGGCCCACUCGUUACAAUUGUCCUUUAUUCCGAUCCCGAGAUCCAGCCCUUCCUAUUGAACCAUAAGCACUAGCACCACCAAUUGCAUCUUCGCCCCCCAUAGAGACUCAGGAGACGAAGGAGCCGCCAGCCAAAUCGACCAAUAAAUGCGAUAGGCAUUAAUUGUUAGUAACCGCUAAUCGCUACUAACUACUAAAUGCUAACCGCCUACCCUUAUAAAUAAUAUAUAAAAAUAAAUUAGCCUACCAAAACACUAAAACAGGCUCAAAAUCAUCUAAAACAAGCCAUGAAAAGAUGCACAAAAGAUUCAUACCUGACAAGUGGUUACAACGGUACGGUUUGAACAUAAAUAAACGCUAAUUGGGUUACUCAAAACUGUUAACCGCCUAAAAGCAGUGCAAAUGCGACUGCCCCUACAACCCCAGUUAAUCUUCUCACGUGCACGAAGACUCUUUGAAGAGCUCUUCACGUGUAUAAAUUGAGGUUUAUAUUCCAUUUUCUCAAGAGUGGGUAAGAUAUGCCCAAGAAUACCUCAAAAAGUCAUGUACUGAUCAUGGCGGGAUUGAUAAUGCUUCUGCUAAUAACAACAGAUGCUAAAGCUAAAGACCCUCUGCCUACUUCUGUCCACCAGUACUCCAACCCUUUCUAUCUUCCCCAACCCGUCUCCCUCCCCACUCCAUAUGAUGCUAAUAAAGCAAGUAUAACAAAAAGAGGGAUUUGCUGUCUUACGAAAUGUGCCCUGUCGAGAAAUUACGUGGGAGUCACUCGUAAAGAGUAUUUUCGCUUUGUUAGAAGCUGUUGUAAGCAAUUCUGCGUGCCCGGCAUCUGGCUUUGAAAUCAGGGCUAACUACAGACCAGCUACAACCCUUACCUCAAUAUUGCAGAAAUCACGCUCAGCAGUCCAUGUUUUCUGUUACAGCCGGAUGUCUCUGUGACAAGCAUAGAUACACAUGGGCUUACCUUUGUGUUUUACAGUAUCUAAAUCACCUUUGUGAACCGGCCACUAUGUGGUUCUUCGGUUAUAAAUAAGAACUUCAGCAUCUGUUUUGGUCA